rnacentral:rRNA from 1 species
UACACUCCUACGGGAGACAGCAGUAGGGAAUCUUCCACAAUGGGUGCAAACCUGAUGGAGCAAUGCCGCGUGAGUGAAGAAGGUCUUCGGAUCGUAAAGCUCUGUUGUUAGAGAAGAACACGUGCUAGGUAACUACUAGCGCCUUGACGGUAUCUAACCAGAAAGUCACGGCUAACUACGUGCCAGCAGCCGCGGUAAUACGUAGGUGACAAGCGUUGUCCGGAUUUAUUGGGCGUAAAGGGAGCGCAGGCGGUCUGUUUAGUCUAAUGUGAAAGCCCACGGCUUAACCGUGGAACGGCAUUGGAAACUGACAGACUUGAAUGUAGAAGAGGAAAAUGGAAUUCCAAGUGUAGCGGUGGAAUGCGUAGAUAUUUGGAGGAACACCAGUGGCGAAGGCGAUUUUCUGGUCUAACAUUGACGCUGAGGCUCGAAAGCGUGGGGAGCGAACAGGAUUAGAUACCCGGGUAGUCCCAUGA